GCUUAAGGAUGAGCAAAGAACGCGGUUUCUUGAGAUGGAAACUACUCCUGGUGAAGAUGCUGAGAA
rnacentral:pre_miRNA from 1 species